CGCAGGAAUCGACGGAACCCUUCGGGGGGAAGUCGACGGAAUGAGCGGCGGACGGGUGAGUAACACGUAAAGAACCUGCCCUCAGGUCUGGGAUAACCACGAGAAAUCGGGGCUAAUACCGGAUGGGUCAUCGGACCGCAUGGUCCGAGGAUGAAAGGCGCUUCGGCGUCGCCUGGGGAUGGCUUUGCGGUGCAUUAGCUAGUUGGUGGGGUAAUGGCCCACCAAGGCGACGAUGCAUAGCCGACCUGAGAGGGUGAUCGGCCACACUGGGACUGAGACACGGCCCAGACUCCUACGGGAGGCAGCAGUAGGGAAUCUUCCACAAUGGACGAAAGUCUGAUGGAGCAACGCCGCGUGAACGAUGAAGGCCUUCGGGUCGUAAAGUUCUGUUGUAAGGGAAGAACAAGUGCCGCAGGCAAUGGCGGCACCUUGACGGUACCUUGCGAGAAAGCCACGGCUAACUACGUGCCAGCAGCCGCGGUAAUACGUAGGUGGCAAGCGUUGUCCGGAAUUAUUGGGCGUAAAGCGCGCGCAGGCGGCCUCUUAAGUCUGAUGUGAAAGCCCCCGGCUCAACCGGGGAGGGCCAUUGGAAACUGGGAGGCUUGAGUAUAGGAGAGAAGAGUGGAAUUCCACGUGUAGCGGUGAAAUGCGUAGAGAUGUGGAGGAACACCAGUGGCGAAGGCGACU
rnacentral:rRNA from 1 species